UACGUAGGGGGCAAGCGUUGUCCGGAUUUAUUGGGCGUAAAGAGCGUGUAGGCGGCCAUGCAGGUCCGUUGUGAAAACUCGAGGCUCAACCUCGAGACGUCGAUGGAAACCGCAUGGCUAGAGUCCGGAAGAGGAGAGUGGAAUUCCUGGUGUAGCGGUGAAAUGCGCAGAUAUCAGGAAGAACACCAGGGGCGAAAGCGGCCGACUGGUCGAGUGCUGACGCUGAGGCGCGACGGCGUGGGGAGCAAACCGG
rnacentral:rRNA from 1 species